rnacentral:rRNA from 1 species
CCUACGGGAGGCAGCAGUGAGGAAUAUUGGUCAAUGGGCGCGAGCCUGAACCAGCGAAGUCGCGUGAGGGAUGACGGUCCUACGGAUGGUAAACCUCUUUUGCCGGGGAGCAAGCGUGCGUUCGUGAACGCGCGUCGAGAGUACCCUGAGAACAAGCAUCGGCUAACUACGUGCCAGCAGCCGCGGUAAUACGGAGGAUGCGAGCGUUAUCCGGAUUUAUUGGGUUUAAAGGGUGCGUAGGUGGGUUGUUAAGUCAGUUGUGAAAGGUUGCGGCUCAACCGUAAAAUUGCAGUUGAAACUGGCAGUCUUGAGUACAGUAGAGGUGGGCGGAAGUCGUGGUGUAGCGGUGAAAUGCUGAGAUAUCACGAAGAACUCCGAUUGCGAAGGCAGUUCACUGGACUGCAACUGACACUGAGGCUCGAAAGUGUGGGUAUCAAACAGGAUUAGAUACCCUGGUAGUC